ACCGGCUAACUCCGUGCCAGCAGCCGCGGUAAUACGGAGGGUGCGAGCGUUAAUCGGAAUUACUGGGCGUAAAGGGUGCGUAGGUGGUUGAUUAAGUUAUCUGUGAAAUUCCUGGGCUUAACCUGGGACGGUCAGAUAAUACUGGUUGACUCGAGUAUGGGAGAGGGUAGUGGAAUUUCCGGUGUAGCGGUGAAAUGCGUAGAGAUCGGAAGGAACACCAGUGGCGAAGGCGGCUACCUGGCCUAAUACUGACACUGAGGCACGAAAGCGUGGGGAGCAAACAGGAUUAGAUACCCUGGUAGUCCACGCUGUAAACGAUGUCAACUAGC
rnacentral:rRNA from 1 species